CUCCCUCCCAUAUUCCAAGAAUUGCUAUCGACUGGAAGAAUCAAAUGUUCCCCGUUUAGCAAUGUCAUUCCUAAGCAGUGCUCUCAUUUAGGGUGAAACAGUUCAUGGACAGAAGCUCAGGAGAAGACAAUGCCACUUACAGAAGGGCACACAUCACCGAUGUCAGCGAGACUCACUCGACACAGGGAGACAAGGGUACCUGCAGACCACUGCACAGGGAUGCUGCAAACAACAGUCUUUACAAGAAUUCACAAUUUGUUCCUACUUUUAGAGGCGCAUUCAGCAUUUUGAAUGGUGGUGUUCCCAUCACCACAAUCGUGAAAUAGAAGAGUCAGUGAAGCCACUCAAGGUUCACAGUGACCCCGAAAGAGACAGACGUUGCAGAACUUCAAGAGUUAAAGACCAGGCCAAGUGUAAAGGUACAUCAGACGGCCUCCUGGGAGGUGUGGAGGGAAGGCGCUCUUUCCCAGCAGGUCACUUUGUUUAUUACUUACAUAUAAUUGUUGACAGCUCAUCACGAAUCGAUCUGACUUAAAUACUUCCCGGAACAAGUCCAUCUUGCUGGACCAGAGAGAAAUGUGUGUGACAGUGCAAAUGAGAUGUUCACCCAUGACCACAUCAGCAGGCGAUGCAGAAACACUAAAAGAUUUCCACUCUUCACAACUCUACCCUGCAGUCCAUGGCGAUGACCUAGAACAUCUAGCAGUGUUCCAACCUCAUUCAACACACACGCGGGCCCUUUGCCUCUGCAUUGUCUUGUCCCUGAAAAGUAGAAAUGUGGGUUGGGGUUACUUUGACUCAGAUGGGGGUUGGGGGGAAUCCUGCCAGAGAGAGGAGAAGAGUCGGGUAUCAUAAGCAUUUGGGGAAGAAGAGGGGAUAUCCUGUAGCUGGUCCCGGCUCCCUUCCAUGGGGCAAGGGAUAGGUUUCUGUUUACAGAGGGAAACAUUUAAUCAAGACCGCAUUCUUCAAAACCCAGAUGUAUUUCUUAUCACAUCCACCCAAGCAACCUGGGGUCCCACACAAACGUGCAGUGGCUUCUGGAGAGGAAGUUUUGGUGAAUAUUUUAGAAACAAUAACAACAACAAGAACAAAAACACAACCGGCUGGCACAGUCUGAAUCUCAACAAUCUCAAGAUUCUUCUUCAUUUUGAGACCUUCCGAAACAAUACGAACAUUCUACUUGGUAAGUCAAUAAGAAAACUCACUGACACAAUAAUGCUCUGUCUUUCUCAAGUUGGGGUGCUGACAUAAUGGAGAAAGUCCCUGCUCUGAAUGUCUCCAACCAUAUGAAGUUUAAAAAGCAUGCAGCUGGGGGUCAAUGUUGGGUGAACACCCAGGAUUACGGGACAGACGUGAACCUCCGCCUGGCUGGACGCUUACAGGUUUCCCUUCAUCCCCUGAAGAACUGCUAAAACCAGCAAUUAGGAACCAUAAACACCAGUACUUUGCCUUGAGGGAAAUUGGGACUUCAAGAUAAAAUAUCUAAGAGAUUUGAAAUCUGUCGUUAAACACAGCCUUGGUCUUAAAUGUUCAUAAUCCUUUCCCUGCCCUUGACUUUCUGCAAUAACUUCUUUCUGAAUUUCUCUGUCUCUGUUUACCAGUUUACUUUCUUAGGGAAUAACCUCCAUAAGCUACCAAAUGAUGAACUGUUUUUCAUUCAUGUGUUGUUUUUCCAGCCCCCUUAAUUGGAAUAAAUGAACAUAUGACUUGACUUUUAACCUACUUUUCCUUGGGCUUAAAAUAAAAGAGUAUAGCAUCAUUUAUGUGUGUCUGCAUAUAUGCAUUAAUUUAUUAUCAAUCCCAAGGACCUCACCAGUGUGAACUGGAGAUUAAGCAAAAUAGCAAAAAUUAUUCUCACCCUUUGCUGUGUCUAAAAUCAAUGGCACAACAAGAAUAAAAUGGAGUAAUGAUAUGUCAGAUAGUAUCUUUACUGAAAGGCUACUUAUAGUUGUAUUUUGGACAAAGAGAGUUAACUUAGUAUCUUUUGCUGAAAACUUUUCAUAAUACAGUUGAUUCUUGUUAUUCAUGGUGAUUAAGCUCUGUAGUCACUGUGAACACAAAAUUAGUGAAGACUGAGCCAUUGCUCCUAUAGGAAAUAUAGGGUUACGUUCCUGCAGGCUUCUGCUUAUGACAUUCUCACCAACCAAUCAAUUCAUACCUUUGUUUUAUGUAUGUUUCUGUUUAAAGACACCUUAUUUAAUAGAUACUGUUGAUUUAAUAAUAAUAAUAUUGAAGUCGUGGUCAACAGCCCUGUAACUCAGGCCUGAACAAAGCUGAUCUAACACAGGUUUUCUACACAAGGCUCAUCACAGCCUUCUCACCCCUAGAUACACUGGACAGCACUACAGCACCAUUGGGAGCCAUUUUAAACAGCAAAAUCACCAAAAAAGGCACAAAAAGAAUCCCUGUUUACAGUCUGAGAGCUGGGACAAGAAGGCAGGGCAUCCCUUGUUAGCGCUUAGCUGGGAACAUGCACAACAGGCAGCUCAGAAUUUUUGCCACUAAGUUUAUGUCAGUGAAUGAGUAAGUACCACAGUAUUGAUUUGGGGGUUACCAGGAAAUGUAAUGAGUUGACAUAUUUGCAAAUACCGGAUCUGUGACUAAUGAGGAUCAGCUGUACUUCUGAAAGAACCACUUAAGGCAUCUCUAUUCUGUACUAUUAUAUAUUCUGUACUAAAUAUAUCGGCAAAUACAUUUUUUGCCAAUACUGAUUCUGUCACUUCUGAAUAUUCCAGCCUUCCUUACUUAACUUUAUCUUCUUCUUUUUUUUUUUUUUUUGCGGUACCCGGGCCUCUCA